rnacentral:lncRNA from 1 species
UUCGACAAACAUGAGUGAAAAUAGUGAAUCAUGAUAUUCUUUGGUCUAGGGUUUGGCAACAUAUGUUGUAGUAUUGUAUGUAUUCUUAUGUUAGAUUUUGAAACAAAGCCCAAGAACAAACUGGCCCAAAAUAGCCCAGCAAUUUUGAAAACCCUAACACCCUUCAUCAUGCCUCGAUGAGCCGCCACGCCGGUGUAGAGAAACCGAAACCGCCAAGACAAGAAACCAACCUUCGCCACUGCUACUACCUAGAUAAAGAAGACACCUCACCGGGAGGACUAGGCAGGGUAUAGGAAGAGACCAGAAAUGAGAGAGGAGAACCCAAGAAGCGAGACCCAUGCAGAUCCGGUCCUAAGACCGUCUCCGUACUCAUCCGCCUCCGGUGACAUCGUUCACUCCCUCCACCGCCCUCAAACGGAGAGCUUACUAGCUAGAGCAGCCGUAAGUUCAUGCAACCCUAUAACGCUUCCGCCUUGAAAACCUUCUCUCCUCCAAGAUCUACCACCCUCCCCCCUCCCCUCACAGAUUUGGGCUUCUCAAACACCAGGAAGAGAGCACAAAUAAGAUUUCCGACGGUGACUUAUGAGGAAACAAGAACCCACCUCCAUCCUCAAGAACCAGGAACCACAAAGAACCACCACCUUUGACGUGACUGCGCCGAACCAUCCACGGCCUCGAACCGGAGACGCCACCUAGUUUGUGCAUUAGCUUGUUAGACCUCAGAUGAAGAUCUGAGCAUGAACAAGUUAAAAGAAAAGGAAAAAAAAAAGGAAAGACGGUGUUAA